CUGACCGAUAGUGAACCAGUCCCGUGAGGGAAAGGCGAAAAGACCCCCUGUGAGGGGAGUGAAAUAGAUCCUGAAACCGUAUGCGUACAAGCAGUCGGAGCAGACUUGUUCUGUGACGGCGUACCUUUUGUAUAAUGGGUCAUCGACUUGGUCUAUCUAGCAAGCUUAAGCCGUUAGGUGUAGGCGCAGCGAAAGCGAGUCUUAAUAGGGCGAACGAGUUAGGUGGAUCAGACCCGAAACCGAGUGAUCUAGGCAUGUCCAGGAUGAAGGUUAGGUAACACUAACUGGAGGUCCGAACCCACAUCUGUUGAAAAAGAUCGGGAUGAGGUGUGCCUAGGGGUGAAAGGCCAAUCAAACUCGGAAAUAGCUCGUACUCCCCGAAAUGCAUUUAGGUGCAGCGUUGAUUUAUAGUUUUAUAGAGGUAGAGCUACUGAUUGGAUGCGGGGGCUUCACCGCCUACCAAUUCCUGACAAACUCCGAAUGCUAUAAAAUGUUAAUCAGCAGUGAGGGCAUGGGUGCUAAGGUCCAUGUCCGAGAGGGAAAGAACCCAGACCAUCAGCUAAGGUCCCCAAAUGUAUGUUAAGUUGAAUAAACGAGGUUGAACUGCUUAGACAGCUAGGAUGUUGGCUUGGAAGCAGCCAUUCAUUUAAAGAGUGCGUAACAGCUCACUAGUCGAGCGGUUCGGCAUGGAUAAUAAUCGGGCAUAAACAUACUACCGAAGCUAUGGGAUCCUGCAAGAGCAGUGAUCGGUAGGGGAGCAUUCUAAUUGUGUUGAAGGUGAUCUGUAAGGGUUGCUGGAACGGUUAGAAAAGAAAAUGUAGGCAUAAGUAACGAUAAUGCGGGCGAGAAACCCGCACACCGAAAGACCAAGGUUUCCUCAGCUAUGCUAAUCAGCUGAGGGUUAGUCAGGGCCUAACGCGAACCCGAACGGGGUAGUGGAUGGACAACGGGUUAAUAUUCC
rnacentral:rRNA from 13 species